AGUCGAGCGGAAACGAGUUAUCUGAACCUUCGGGGAACGAUAACGGCGUCGAGCGGCGGACGGGUGAGUAAUGCCUAGGAAAUUGCCCUGAUGUGGGGGAUAACCAUUGGAAACGAUGGCUAAUACCGCAUGAUGCCUACGGGCCAAAGAGGGGGACCUUCGGGCCUCUCGCGUCAGGAUAUGCCUAGGUGGGAUUAGCUAGUUGGUGAGGUAAGGGCUCACCAAGGCGACGAUCCCUAGCUGGUCUGAGAGGAUGAUCAGCCACACUGGAACUGAGACACGGUCCAGACUCCUACGGGAGGCAGCAGUGGGGAAUAUUGCACAAUGGGCGCAAGCCUGAUGCAGCCAUGCCGCGUGUAUGAAGAAGGCCUUCGGGUUGUAAAGUACUUUCAGUCGUGAGGAAGGCGGUGUCGUUAAUAGCGGCGUCGUUUGACGUUAGCGACAGAAGAAGCACCGGCUAACUCCGUGCCAGCAGCCGCGGUAAUACGGAGGGUGCGAGCGUUAAUCGGAAUUACUGGGCGUAAAGCGCAUGCAGGUGGUUUGUUAAGUCAGAUGUGAAAGCCCGGGGCUCAACCUCGGAAUAGCAUUUGAAACUGGCAGACUAGAGUACUGUAGAGGGGGGUAGAAUUUCAGGUGUAGCGGUGAAAUGCGUAGAGAUCUGAAGGAAUACCGGUGGCGAAGGCGGCCCCCUGGAACGAUACUGACACUCAGAU
rnacentral:rRNA from 1 species